CUGGGUGACUUUGAGUGAGUCCUUUUCCCAUCCUGGGCCUGAGAGAUAAAAGGCUUGAAUUCCGUAUUGCCACAGCAUCAUGCUCCAAUCAUGAGAAAUAACUCAGUGAUGCGUGUGUGGAGGGGGAGGGCCCGUGCAUAUGUGAUAGAGAGAGAGAGGUGGGGGGGAUUCCUCCAAGCACACAUGGGCCCAUUUAACCAGAUUCUGCUUCACCUUCUUUUCUUUAAUCCCCAGAGAUGUGGCUUGCUCAGUGAACUGCCACUAAGUGCUCCCUAGGCACCCACUGGUGUCAGGUCCUCUGCUGGGGCCUACAGACGGGUCCCUUCCUUGAAGGGCUCAUGCCUGACGAUCAUUAGCAAAGCCUUCCUGUGUCUAAAGGAUCGCUUACUCCCUGUUUGCUCAGAGCUCAGGAGGCACAGCCUCACUAGAAGGUUUGGAAAGCACCCUGCGGUGGAAGAAUGAGAAUAUCUGAGCUGUGCAAGCAAAUGGUAUGGGCCAGCAUCUAGAACUGCAGCUCAGGAAGGAGAACUCAAGCAGAGCUGAAAAGCCUAUGAGGAAGACAGAUGGCAAGAGGAGUCGGCUGAAUAGCGGCACCCAAAGACAGCAGGUCCUAAUCCUGGAGCUGUAAAUGUGACCUCAUUUGGAGAAAAAAAAAAAAAAGUCUUUGCAGAUGUGAUUAAGUUAGAGAAUCUGAGAUGGGGAGAUUAUCCUGGAUGAUCAGGGUGUGUCCUAAAUGCAAUCACAAGUGUCCUUACAAGAGACGGGCAGAGGGAAAUUUGACACACAGAAGAGAGACAGUGAUGGGAAUUGAGAAAGAUCUGAAGAUGCUGAUAUUGAAGAUCGGAGUGAUGAGGCCACAAGCCAAAGGAUGCUAGCAGCUCCCAGAAUCUGGAAGAAGUGAGAAUAAAUUUUCCUCUAAAGCCUCCAGAGGAAGCACAGCCCUGCCGGCUCCUUGAUUUUAGCCCAGUGAUGCUGAUUUUUGACUUCUGUCCUCCAGAACUGUGAAAUAAACCUCUGUUGUUUUAAGCCACCAAGUUUGGGGUGAUUUGUUACAGCAGCCACAGGAAAACCAGCCAGUAUAGUGGCUCGUGAGGCCCAUUUUACUUUUGAGGAAAUACAGACCCAGAGAGCAGCAGUGAUUUGCACAGAGCCACACAGCACAUUAGCCCCUUUGGCCGAGGCCAGACCAGGUUAACAGACCCUGAACCACUGCGCUCCUGCUUCCAUCUGCCCCGCCUCCUCCUGGCCAUGCUGGGACUGCUGGGAGGUCUUAGACCUGAGAUGCCUCUAGUUUCCACAGUGGUGUGUAGUUGCCCCCAGGCGAAUCUUGCUGGUGCCAAGCCCCAACCUGUGGCCACCAUUGCCCUCAACCAGGAUGCGCUCC
rnacentral:lncRNA from 1 species